GAAGAAGAUGUAGUAAAAUCCAAGAAAACUUUCCGAAGUCAAGCUGUGGUAAAUCAGAAUGCAGAAACAGAGCUUAUGCUGGAAGGAGAUGAUGAUGCUGUUAGUCUCCUCCAAGAGAAGGAAAUUGACAACCUUGCAGUUUUAUCUCCUUUACUUCCCAGACUGUUCACUUCAAGAGGCAAGUCACUUCUCUGUUAGAACUAAUAACUGAGAUAGCCCAAUCUAUUCUAACAGUUUUCUAAUUUAUUGCGAAACUGUGAUUAAUACAAUCAAAUCCAGUGUAGUGACUUGAUAUUACUAACUCUUCCUUCUUUCUCACUUCAAUUUUCUAAUGCUCCAGCAGAGCUCUCACAUGCUUACCUUUUCUCUUAAGAGCCUGAAAAUGCAAGUUUGCUAACUAAUAAGUUCGUUUUCUUAUUAUUGAUGAUUUUUUUGUCAAAAUGAAAAAUAUGCAGAUGUAUUCUAAUAUGAAAAAUUAGUAUUCUCAAAGGGAAAAGUGUUGUAAUAGGUAAGUAAUACUUAUUAAAAAGAACAUCUGCACUAAAAUGAGUCAGAGAAAGCAGAUAAGCGUUGAAUCAUUUCUGCUUUACGUAUUUUACUUUUAGAAAUACAUUCUCUUUGUCGUGGAGUUGCAGAUGGUUGGCUGAAAGUUGUUUGUGCACAUCUGAGAGCAGAAUUUAGCCUGCAUGUUCUGUACAAGUCAUAUGGCUGGUGGCAUUAGCAAAUAGACCCAGCCAAGCAAAAGAGCCCUGACAAAGUCUUUUGCUACACUCUAAAAAGUAGUUUUUAGUAAAGAAGAAAGGAAAUAAAGGUAUAAAAUGUAAGGCUUUGGACUAUUUUAGGAAGUCAAAAGACUUUGGCAGGCAUCUGUCUGGUUACUUGCAUGGGCUCAAUCAACUCAGAAUCUGACUUUCUUGUAAGCGAUGGAGGAUUACAGCCUCACAGCACCCUUACCAGAGUAAAUGCAUAUUAUUCUCUCCACUGUACAGAGGAGACUGAGCAAUUCAUCCGAAUAAGCCCAAGGAAAGCCACUAACUUUAGUGAGCCUUUAAUGAGUCUCAAUCUUAAUAUACCGUAACUUUUACUGCAGAAUCUUCCUUUCUUCUUGGACAGAUGUCUCUAGAUGGAGGGAACCCCCCCGACAAUACAAAUGUGCCAGGAAAAUUUAUGAAAAGCAGUCUAGCACUGCCUUAACUUUUAGCGACUUCAGUAUAGAAAUCAUUCUAGCAGGUAGCAUUACUACUUCUCAUAAAGAUGGUCAUCCACCCAAGCCAGCAUAGCUAACUAAUCCUUGUUAGCUUUAAAGACUAAAUGUGAUAUACGCUCUCUCCAGACUUUCUGGUAGUGCACUGAGCGUAUUGACUUACUGCCCUUCGUUAGGUCAUGAGGAUUUGACAGCUUGUAUUAUUAUUAUUAAUGAGAUAUAAGACCUUUCACUUCCAGGUCAUCUGUUUGAAGUCCAGACAAGACUGGUGGUAACCAAACAUUAUCAACAUCUGUUUUGUGGCCUAUGCAAAAUAAGCCUUUUGUCUCUUUUCUGACAGAAACCAUCAUGAUUUGAGCAAUUUCCAAUUGAAAAAAAA